rnacentral:rRNA from 1 species
UACGGAGGGGCUAGCGUUGUUCGGAAUUACUGGGCGUAAAGCGCACGUAGGCGGCUUUGUAAGUUAGAGGUGAAAGCCCAGGGCUCAACCCUGGAAUUGCCUUUAAGACUGCAUCGCUUGAACAUCGGAGAGGUAAGUGGAAUUCCGAGUGUGAGAGGUGAAAUUCGUAGAUAUUCGGAAGAACACCAGUGGCGAAGGCGACUUACUGGACGAU